rnacentral:misc_RNA from 1 species
AGAAGCUACUUUAAUCACCCCUUCAGACCCAACCCCUAUACAAGUUCUCCCACUUUCCGCUUUGGAUUCCCAGCUCUUUUUGCGCUUCACCAUCGAAUAUCUGCUCGUUUACAAGCCCUCACGCCAUGUAUUAGAUAAACUAGCUACAGUGAGCCGUAUCAAGGCCGCGCUUGGUCGAGCCCUGGUCCCUUACUACCCCUUAGCCGGAAG